rnacentral:lncRNA from 1 species
CUAGAGCAUAGCUUGCCUUUUUUUUUUUUUUUGCUUUUGCUACACUUGUCCUGAUUCUGUGUUUGGAAUGCCCCUUCUCACCAGCCCCGCCAAGUCCAGCUCAAAUCUCACCUCUGCCAUGAAGCCUUCUCUGACCAGUGCUUUUAUGGAAAGAACUCCAGGAACCUGGGAGGUUACACAUGACCCUCUUGGCAUCGGAGUCCUGGGAC